UACGUAGGGUGCGAGCGUUGUCCGGAAUUACUGGGCGUAAAGAGCUCGUAGGUGGUUUGUCACGUCGUCUGUGAAAUUCCGGGGCUUAACCUCGGGCGUGCAGGCGAUACGGGCAAUACUUGAGUGCUGUAGGGGAGACUGGAAUUCCUGGUGUAGCGGUGAAAUGCGCAGAUAUCAGGAGGAACACCAAUGGCGAAGGCAGGUCUCUGGGCAGUUACUGACGCUGAGGAGCGAAAGCAUGGGGAGCAAACAGGAUUAGA
rnacentral:rRNA from 1 species